rnacentral:rRNA from 1 species
AGCGAACGCUGGCGGUAGGCCUAACACAUGCAAGUCGAACGGCAGCACAGUAAGAGCUUGCUCUUACGGGUGGCGCGCGGCGGAACGGGGCGGAAUACACCGGAAAAUACUUUUUCAUGGGGGCUAAUGUCGGGAAACUUCCGCUAAUACCGCAUACGACCCACGGGUAAAAGCAGGGGAUCUUCGGACCUUUCGCGAGUGAAUGAGGCGAAGUCGGAUUAGCUAGUUGGCGGGGUCAAGGCCCACCAAGGCGACGAUCCGUAGCUGGUCUGAGAGGAUGAUCAGGCACACUGGAACUGAGACACGGUCCAGACUCCUACGGGAGGCAGCAGUGGAGAAUAUUGGACGAUGGGGGCAAGCCGGAUCCAGCCAUACCGCGUGGGUGAAGAAGGCCUUCGGGUUGUAGAGCCCUUUUGUUGGGAAAGGAAAGCAGCAGUUUAAUACCCCGCUGUUCUGACGGUACCCAAAGAAUAAGCACCGGCUAACUUCGUG